rnacentral:rRNA from 1 species
UACGAGGGGGGCGAGCGUUGUUCGGAAUUAUUGGGCGUAAAGGGUGCGUAGGCGGUUUGGUAAGUCUGAUGUGAAAUCUAUGGGCUCAACUCAUAGUCUGCAUCGGAAACUGCCGGGCUUGAGUGUGGGAGAGGUGAGUGGAAUUCCUGGUGUAGCGGUGAAAUGCGUAGAUAUCAGGAGGAACACCGGUGGUGUAGACGGCUCUCUGGACCGUAACUGACGCUGAGACACGAAAGCGUGGGUAGCAAACAGG